rnacentral:rRNA from 1 species
GAUGAACGCUGGCGGCGUGCUUAACACAUGCAAGUCGAACGGAAAGGCCAGUGCUUGCCCUGGUACUCGAGUGGCGAACGGGUGAGUAACACGUGGGUGAUCUGCCCUGCACUUCGGGAUGAGCCUGGGAAACUGGGUCUAAUACCGGAUAGGACAAUGGUUUGGAUGCCGUUGUGGAAAGUUUUUUCGGUGUGGGAUGAGCUCGCGGCCUAUCAGCUUGUUGGUGGGGUAAUGGCCUACCAAGGCGUCGACGGGUAGCCGGCCUGAGAGGGUGUACGGCCACAUUGGGACUGAGAUACGGCCCAGACUCCUACGGGAGGCAGCAGUGGGGAAGAUUGCACAAUGGGCGCAAGCCUGAUGCAGCGACGCCGCGUGGGGGAUGACGGCCUUCGGGUUGUAAACUCCUUUCGCUAGGGACGAAGCGUAUUUGUGACGGUACCUGGAGAAGAAGCACCGGCUAACUACGU